ensembl:misc_RNA Metazoa_SRP Metazoan signal recognition particle RNA
GCCGGGCAUGGUGGCGUGCGCCUGUAAUCCCAUCUACUCAGGAGGCUGAGGCUGGAGAAUCCCUCGAACCCGGGAGGUGGAGGUUGCAGUGAGCCGAGAUGGCGCCACUGCACUUCAGCCUGGGUGACAGAGCGAGACCCAGUCUCAA